GAGAAGAGGAGGAUGAUGAAGAGGGGUGGAGAUGUCUGGAGAGCACUUGGGCACGGAGAGCAACGCGCUCUGUUGAAGAAGAAGAAGACGACAUGGUUGACCGGUGAGUUAGAAUUAGGUCGAUAGAUUUGGGAAGAAGGAACAGACUACAAGGAACAGGGAGAUUGUGUAUUUAUACGCGCUACUUCCUACAUUUAUUAUUACAACAAUAUAGCGGUCAAUAAAUUGAAAACGUAACGGAACAAGAAUACUGCCAGACCUCAUCAUCAGCAUAUCAACAUCUCUGGGGGACUGUGCCACUGCGUUUAUCCUCUCAUUCGGUUUUAUUUUAUUUAUAUUGUUUUGUUUUAUUAUAAGAAGAAGAUUACAUUCACGGUCGGGGGAUCUAGUAAAGGGCACGGGGGGACACGUGUCCCCCCUAAGUAAAAAAAAAAUAAAAAUUACCGCCGUGAUUUCGGGAAAAAAAUAUAAGUGUCCCCCUAAAAAAUUUGAAAAUUUAGGGGUGUCCCCGCGAAUCUUUAAAAGUUCAAGUAAGUUGCAGUGGUUUAAUAAAAUUAAAGGAACUAAAAGGUAAUUUGUACACAUAUAUUUAUAUUAAAAAUAUGAAUAGAUAUAAUUUAAAAACAAAGAAAUAGUUUAUUCAUAUGUUUUAGUCUCUGCGGUCUGUUCUCUCGAGCUUGUGCCUGGCUACCCACUGCCCAGUAAGUACUCACCUUUUUAUUAAUCCAAUUUACCCACCUAUCAAAUACAAACCGAAUACAAUCACUGAAUCAUCUAUCAGCUACUAGUUAAUUAGAUAUGGGCUUGAGGCUUCUGAUGUGGAGCGCUGCGUUUUCUGUUCUUACCUGUCCGAACUCCGCCUAAUCCAUGGAUGUUUCUUCUUCUGCAGAGUAAUUCCGGAAUCUAAAGAUUAAACAAAGUAUGUUUAUAUUGUCAUUGUGUGUCUAAUUUAUAGAUAUCUGUUGUGUACUUCUGUUUAUGCUUUAAAUUCAAAUUAUUAGGUCAUGGGUAGCAGCAGGCUAACAGAGUAGCAGGCAGCAGCUGAAAAGGGGGAAUUCUCAAUUCUGUGAUUACAAAAUUAAGGUGUGUUUAUUUUUCCCCUACUGUAACUUUGUAAGCUUUUGAUUAUCGUUAGUUGAUACUUAAAAUGUCAACCCUAUAUUUGUUAAACAGUUAAUCAAUUAUGCAUCGAUUCUAUAAAAAACUCCGAACAUCUCCCCCCUCAUCUCCAACACCUCCCCAGCCAAUUGUAAAUGAGUGAUCUUUUGGAUUUUAUUCAAUGUUAUGAAUUUGUGUUCUUAUUGCAUUUAAUGAAGACUGUAUUGGGGAUCACUAACGAGUUAUCACAAGCAUUGCAGAGGAAAGAUCAAGAUCUUGUAAACGCCAUGGAUCUUGUUAAAUCAUGUAAAAGAAGAUUUCAACACACGAGGGAUAAUGGUUGGCAAUCUCUGCUUGAAGAAAUAUGUGUUUUUUGUGAAAAGAAUUCAGUAAGUAUCCCAAAUAUGGAAGAUGUGUUUGUAGCUCGAGGAAGAUCAAGACGUGGAGUACAAGAAUUCACAAAUCUGCAUCAUUUUCAGAAUGAUUUAUUUUAUACUAUCAUAGAUGAUCAAAUGGGAGAGUUAAAUAGUCGAUUCAAUGAAGUGAACACAGAAUUGCUUUUGUGUAUGGCUUGCCUCAAUCCAUCUGAUUCUUUUUCUGCCAUGAAAAUCAUCAAAAGUACGUUGCGCAACCGAAUGGGAGACGAGUGGAUGAAUGAUUGUUUAGUAACUUAUGUUGAAAGAGAGAUGUUUGAGACUAUCUCAACAGAUAAUAUAAUCAAGCAAUUUCAGAAAAUGAAGUCUAGGAGAAUCUGCCUAUAAUUGUGUAUAUACCAUGCCAGGUUUUAAUAAACAUGUCUACUCUCUAGUAUGUUUCUGUAUAUAUGUGUAUAGCUAUGUAAUUUUUAUUUAAUUAAUGCUAAGAGUGCUUAUGUGUGUGAUUUCAGGGGCAAGAGUUGUUGGCAGACACUCAUUUUUGUCGCAAAAUACUAUACUUUUGGCUUUGCUGUGACUUGUGAGACUGUGGUUGCUGCCUUGCUGGUUCUUGACUAUAGCAUGCAGGUACAUUUAUUAAUCUGUUAUGACUUAUGAGUUAAGAAAAUAUUUUGGUGUCCCCUCUAAGAUUAGAUCCUAGAUCCGCCCCUGUUCACGAUGUCAAUAGAUUGAAUCGAAAUUUAAUACUCUGUUUGUCUUUUAGUAUUAGGUUUUAUUUUAAUAUGUCGAGAUUGUUCUUAAUAUGGGACAAAUUACUAACUUAUGUUGAAUCUAUAAGAUUAUAAAUACUAACUUUUAACCCGUGCAAAGCACGGGCGAAUAUAUAAUUCAUAAUUUAUUAUUUAUAAAUUUAUAUUUUAAUAUCAUUUUAUUAUUAUUUUAAUAUUAAUGGAUGGAAUUUUAAUUAAAAUAUAUUAUUCAACUGACUAUAUUUUCUCCCGAUUACUUGAAAAUACCCUUAUAUAUAUAUAUAUAUAUAUAUAUAUAUAUAUAUUUCACCUUAAGUUUUAGUUUAGAGGAUGUUUAAAUUGAUGUGAUACACUCCAAAUAUAUUUGUAGUUGACUGGAGGAAAGAUUGGUGAUAGGCUUUUGGCUGAAGCAGAGACAAAUCUUGCUAUAAAUAUAAUUUUUUAGUUUGAUCCUAUAUAAUAUCUUUGAUUAUCCAAAUUUUGAUAUAAUCUAUCAUUUAUAAGUUGUCUUGCACAUAAUUGUCAAUUAAUCAUUAAUAUGUUUCAAUUUUAACAAGUAUUAAGAUUAUUUUCUGCUUAUUAGUUAUAUUGCAGAACAUAGAAUCCUAUGAUUUAUAAAAGUAAUUAUUCUACCAUUCGAUCACGAUGUUUAUGUUGCAGAACAUAAUAUGCAGGUUGUCAAAUAUUUACAAAUAUUACUGGACAAAAAAAAUUGAAAUUUAGAUGACUAGAUUACAUUUUAUCAAACUUUGUACUCCAAUACUCCAAUUUUUUUUGUACUCCAUAGAACUUAAGUAUCAUGAUCAAAUAGAAACCAAUCUUAAAAUAAAAACUAAAAACCAAUNACCAAACAUAGACGAUCAUGUAAUACCUUUGAAAGAUUCGAUUCAGUAUUCUAAUCAAUCGAAUUUUAACGUAAUUUUGUAAUCUUGAUUUUUUUGACAACAAAAACUUUCAAGAUUAAAGUUAGAAAGGGUUAUGUAAUGAUUCGUGUUUAGAUUCACGUUUUCGAUUCAGAUGGUGGUGAUAGUGGUGGAAAUGGUGGAGGUGAAGGUGGAGAUGAAGGAAAGAUGAUUAUAGCGGAGGUUUAGGCGGCUUGAAGUAGGGGGUUGGAGCGUUGCCGGAAUAGUGGCGGCGACAACAAAAACUUUCAAGAUUAAAGUUAGAAAGGGUUAUGUAAUGAUUCGUGUUUAUAUUGAAAUAGAACACGUUAUAUUUAAAAAAAGUUAUAUAAAGGUUCUUGUUAAAUAAAGAUAUUCAAAUUAUAUAUUUAUAAUUUUAUUUAUAAUAUCAUUAUAAUUUUUUAAACUGUUUAACAAUGCAAGACUAAUAGAUAGACUCCACAUUUGUAGACUUGUAGUACCAAAAGGAGAGUACCAAACCAAAAAAUAUAACUAAAAUUUUAGACUACAAAUUAUACCCAUGUUGGCUUAUUAUAGUAUAGUAUAGAUUGUCAGUGAUCUUUUUGGAUACGUAUGCAUGAGUACUUUACUAUGAAUUUUUUUCAAAUUUAACAAUAAUAUGAAAUUAAAGAUAUUAACGAAUAAAAAUGUGUGUUUGACAAACAUGAUCCUAAGUUUUACUCUUUCAUUUGUAAUUUAGAAAAACAGAGGAAAAGACUGGCCAAAUUAUUGCUAUUUUGAAAAACAAGCCAACAAUUUGUGAAAAUCUUAAAACUUUAGCCACCACCCUAAGUUUUACUCUUUCAUUUGUAAUUUAAUUUUAGAGAAACAUUUGAAUCUAGUCUUUAUUGGUCGAUCUUUCUUUUCUGGAAAAAACAUAUUUGCAAAACCUUAAUACAUACCAGGGCCCUGCUUUGGAGCCUAUCAAUUACAUAAGCAAUUUGUGUUGCAGUCUUGCUUAUGGGUCUAAUAUUUCUACAAGUAGUGAUUUUAACCAAUGUAGGAAUGAUUACUGCUUAGUGAAAUAUUUUAGUCUCAAGUCUUCCCCGUAAACUCUUACAUUACUAAUCCUCCUUGUCUUUUUCGUGAUAAUUGUUAAUGUUGUGGUAGGCAGAACUGCAAAACGAUGUGUGAUCUUGGCAGCACCCAAGACAAGCUAGCAUUAGAAAGUAGGCGUAUGUAAUAUCUAUCUAGCAUGAUCGAUGAAUUUGUAAUCGGUACGAAAAGAUAAACAUACCAAAGAAAGAAGUGAACUCCAAUUUUAAUAGAAAGAGAGUGAUCAAAGGAAUCAGCCACCUCCUGGAGAGCAAAGCGUCUAAGCUGAGACGGAGGCGAAGAAUACGUCAGAUAGCCCUUAAACACCCCGCACUCAGCCAAAUACUCAAUUCUCUUCAUCGUCAUCACUCUCUGCUGCUCCUUGGAUUGAUUAUAAUCCGGGCCCACAAACACCUUCCCUCCUCUGUCUCUGGGAUUAAACAAGUUGCUUUGAAUGAUGAGGCCGUAGAGCCAGUCUCGGUCCUCUAAAUUGUGAUCGUCCAUCAGCUUCCGCAUCGCUUUCGUGUCGAAAGCGAUGCUUUCGUGUCCAUCGCUUUCGUGUCGAAAGCGAUGCUUUCGCUUCCGCAUCGCUUUCGUGUCCAUCGCUUUCGUGGAUGGAGGGUAUUCCAGACAGGCACGGGGUUCUAGAAGACAUGGAGAAGAGGAGGAGGAUGGAGAUGGAUGGAGAUGUCUGGAGAGCACUUGGGCACGGAAAGCAACGCGCUCUGUUGAAGAAGUAGAAGAAGAAGACAUGGUUGACUGACCGGUGAGUUAGAAUUAGGUCGGUAGAUUUGGGAAGAAGGAACAGAGGACUACAAGGAACAGGGAGAUUGUAUAUACGCGCGUCUUCCGGCAUUUAUUAUUACAACAAUAUAGCGGUGAAGAAAUUGAAAACGUGACGGAACAGGGAGACUGCCA
rnacentral:lncRNA from 1 species